rnacentral:rRNA from 1 species
UACAGAGGUCUCAAGCGUUGUUCGGAUUCAUUGGGCGUAAAGGGUGCGUAGGUGGCGCCGUAAGUCAGGUGUGAAAUCUCGGAGCUCAACUCCGAAACUGCACUUGAUACUGCGGUGCUCGAGUACUGGAGAGGUGAUUGGAAUUUACGGUGUAGCAGUGAAAUGCGUAGAUAUCGUAAGGAAGACCAGUGGCAAGGCGAAUCUCUGGACAGUUACUGACACUGAGGCACGAAGGCCAGGGGAGCAAACGGG